GCAAGUCUCCGUGCCACUGUGUGCCCAUCUGGAGCCCGAUUCCGGUGCCUUGUUGAAGGAGGGAUCAAUCACGGAGGGCCUCUACAUCAACCUUGUUGCUCCCAUGGUGAUGUGUGAGUAGUUCACCACACACCUACAGGUUCAUAGUUAGUACCUAGAUGGAUAUCGCUAUCUAUGUUCUUCAUUGCCAAGAUCACCCCGAUUCCCG
rnacentral:lncRNA from 1 species